GGGAUUGUGGCUCAGUGGUAGAGCGCUUGCCUAGCAUGCAUGAGGCACUGGGUUCAAUUCUCAACACCACCU
rnacentral:tRNA from 1 species